rnacentral:rRNA from 1 species
ACGAACGCUGGCGGCGUGGAUAAGACAUGCAAGUCGAACGAGAGAAUUGCUAGCUUGCUAAUAAUUCUCUAGUGGCGCACGGGUGAGUAACACGUGAGUAACCUGCCCCCGAGAGCGGGAUAGCCCUGGGAAACUGGGAUUAAUACCGCAUAGUAUCGAAAGAUUAAAGCAGCAAUGCGCUUGGGGAUGGGCUCGCGGCCUAUUAGUUAGUUGGUGAGGUAACGGCUCACCAAGGCGAUGACGGGUAGCCGGUCUGAGAGGAUGUCCGGCCACACUGGAACUGAGACACGGUCCAGACACCUACGGGUGGCAGCAGUCGAGAAUCAUUCACAAUGGGGGAAACCCUGAUGGUGCGACGCCGCGUGGGGGAAUGAAGGUCUUCGGAUUGUAAACCCCUGUCAUGUGGGAGCAAAUUAAAAAGAUAGUACCACAAGAGGAAGAGACGGCUAACUCUGUGCCAGCAGCCGCGGUAAUACAGAGGUCUCAAGCGUUGUUCGGAAUCACUGGGCGUAAAGCGUGUGUAGGCUGUUUCGUAAGUCGUGUGUGAAAGGCGCGGGCUCAACCCGCGGACGGCACAUGAUACUGCGAGACUAGAGUAAUGGAGGGGGAACCGGAAUUCUCGGUGUAGCAGUGAAAUGCGUAGAUAUCGAGAGGAACACUCGUGGCGAAGGCGGGUUCCUGGACAUUAACUGACGCUGAGGCACGAAGGCCAGGGGAGCGAAAGGGAUUAGAUACCCCUGUAGUCCUGGCAGUAAACGGUGCACGCUUGGUGUGCGGGGAAUCGACCCCCUGCGUGCCGGAGCUAACGCGUUAAGCGUGCCGCCUGGGGAGUACGGUCGCAAGAUUAAAACUCAAAGGAAUUGACGGGGGCCCGCACAAGCGGUGGAGUAUGUGGUUUAAUUCGACGCAACGCGAAGAACCUUACCAGGUCUUGACAUUGAUCGCGAUCUGCAGAAAUGCGGAGUUCUUCUUCGGAAGACGAGAAAACAGGUGGUGCACGGCUGUCGUCAGCUCGUGUCGUGAGAUGUUUGGUUAAGUCCAGCAACGAGCGCAACCCCUGUUGCCAGUUACCAGCACGUGAAGGUGGGGACUCUGGCGAGACUGCCCAGAUCAACUGGGAGGAAGGUGGGGACGACGUCAGGUCAGUAUGGCCCUUAUGCCCAGGGCUGCACACGUACUACAAUGCCCAGUACAGAGGGGGCCGAAGCCGCGAGGCGGAGGAAAUCCUAAAAACUGGGCCCAGUUCGGACUGUAGGCUGCAACCCGCCUACACGAAGCCGGAAUCGCUAGUAAUGGCGCAUCAGCUACGGCGCCGUGAAUACGUUCCCGGGUCUUGUACACACCGCCCGUCACAUCAUGGAAGCCGGUCGCACCCGAAGUAUCUGAAGCCAACCGCAAGGAGGCAGGGUCCUAAGGUGAGACUGGUAACUGGGAUG